CCAGUCGAGGGGUAACAUAGAGUGCUUGCACUCUGAUGACGACCGGCGAACGGGUGCGCAACGCGUAUAGAAUCUACCCUUUACUGGGGGAUAGCCCAGAGAAAUUUGGAUUAAUACCCCAUAGUAUACUAUUAUGGCAUCAUAAAAGUAUUAAAGGUUACGGUAAAGGAUGACUAUGCGUCCCAUUAGCUAGAUGGUAAGGUAACGGCUUACCAUGGCAACGAUGGGUAGGGGCCCUGAGAGGGGGAUC
rnacentral:rRNA from 1 species